GGAUGCGAUCAUACCAGCACUAUAGCACCGGAUCCCAUCAGAACUCCGAAGUUAUGCGUGCUUGGGCGAGAGUAGUACUAGGAUGGGUGACCUCCUGGGAAGUCCUCGUGUUGCAUUCCC
rnacentral:rRNA from 1 species